UAGCACUAUCAUUUGACGUUAGCGACAGAAGAAGCACCGGCUAACUCCGUGCCAGCAGCCGCGGUAAUACGGAGGGUGCGAGCGUUAAUCGGAAUUACUGGGCGUAAAGCGCAUGCAGGUGGUUUGUUAAGUCAGAUGUGAAAGCCCGGGGCUCAACCUCGGAAUAGCAUUUGAAACUGGCAAACUAGAGUACUGUAGAGGGGGGUAGGAAUUUCAGGUGUAGCGGUGAAAUGCGUAGAGAUCUGAAGGAAUACCGGUGGCGAAGGCGGCCCCCUCGGACAGAUACUGACACUCAGAUGCGAAAGCGUGGGGAGCAAACAGGAUUAGAUACCCUGGUAG
rnacentral:rRNA from 1 species